rnacentral:rRNA from 1 species
UGGGGAAUAUUGCACAAUGGGGGGAACCCUGAUGCAGCAAUGCCGCGUGGGUGAAGAAGCACUCCGGUGCGUAAAGCCCUGUCAGCAGGGAAGAAAAUGACAGUACCUGACUAAGAAGCCCCGGCUAACUACGUGCCAGCAGCCGCGGUAAUACGUAGGGGGCAAGCGUUAUCCGGAUUUACUGGGUGUAAAGGGAGCGCAGGCGGUAUGGCAAGUCAGAUGUGAAAACCCAGGGCCCAACCCUGGGACUGCAUUUGAAACUGCCAUACUGGAGUGCCGGAGAGGUAAGUGGAAUUCCUAGUGUAGCGGUGAAAUGCGUAGAUAUUAGGAGGAACACCAGUGGCGAAGGCGGCUUACUGGACGGUAACUGACGCUGAGGCUCGAAAGCGUGGGGAGCAAACAGG